rnacentral:rRNA from 1 species
AUUGAACGCUGGCGGCAGGCCUAACACAUGCAAGUCGAACGAGUGGCGGACGGGUGAGUAAUGUCUGGGAAACUGCCCGAUGGAGGGGGAUAACUACUGGAAACGGUAGCUAAUACCGCAUACCAUCGGAUGUGCCCAGAUGGGAGUAGCUUGUAGGUGAGGUAACGGCUCACCUAGGCGACGCUGCCUAGCUGGUCUGAGAGGAUGACCAGCGAAACUGGAACUGAGACACGGUCCAGACUCCUAAGGGAGGCAGCAGUGGUGAAGAGUGCACAAUGGGAGCAAGUCUGAUGCAGCCAUGCCGCGUGUAUGAAGAAGGCAUUCGGGUUGUAAAGUACGUGCAGCGGGGAGGCGUUACCCGCAGAAGAAGCAACGGCUAACUCCGUGCCAGCAGCCGCGGUAAUAC